rnacentral:tRNA from 1 species
CGCCGCGCUGGCCGGGGCGGGGGCGCGGGUCGCCGCGGCCGACCUGGACGCCGCGCCGGCGGAGUCCGCGGGCGUUCCGGACGCCGCCGCCGCGG